GGGGGUGUAGCUCAGUGUAGAGCGCUCGCUUUGCAUGCGAGAGGCCCGGGGUUCGAAACCCCGCACCUCCA